UGAGGAACAUCAAUCCAUCAGAUUUCCCCACAAUGGCCUGGACUCUGCUUCUCUUCACACUCCUCCUCUCCGUUGGUCCCAGUGUCCAGCAGCUGCAGACCCUGAAGGACCCAGAAUUCGUGGCUCCGGGUGGGACGGUCACCAUGUCUUGCAGAUUCGGUAGUGGAAACAUUGGUGAUGGCAAUUACCCUGCAUGGGUGCAGAAGAAACCAGGGAGUAAACCUCGGUCAGUGAUGUAUACCACUAGCACCAGACCUUCCGAUGUCCCAGCCCGUUUCUCUGGCUCCAGGUCGGGGAAUGUGAUGUCCCUGACCAUUACGGGGGCCCAGGUAGAAGAUGAAGCGGCUUAUUACUGUGCAGUGUGGACUGCAAGCCAGGGGCACAGUGGUUCAUUGAGAUGCAGAAAAAUUGUGGACUUGUCACUUUCCACAACCGACAUGGCAACGAAGCUGGGUUUGCCACCCUGA